rnacentral:rRNA from 1 species
UUGUUGGUAAGGUAAAAGCUUACCAAGGCUUCGAUCAGUAGCUGGUCUGAGAGGACGACCAGCCACACUGGGACUGAGACACGGCCCAGACUCCUACGGGAGGCAGCAGUGGGGAAUUUUGGACAAUGGGGGCAACCCUGAUCCAGCCAUGCCGCGUGAGUGAAGAAGGCCUUCGGGUUGUAAAGCUCUUUCAGCCGGAACGAAACGGUUACGGUUAACACCCGUGACUACUGACGGUACCGGAAGAAGAAGCACCGGCUAACUACGUGCCAGCAGCCGCGGUAAUACGUAGGGUGCGAGCGUUAAUCGGAAUUACUGGGCGUAAAGCGUGCGCAGGUGGUUUUGUAAGUCAGAUGUGAAAGCCCCGGGCUCAACCUGGGAACUGCGUUUGAAACUACAAGACUAGAGUGUGGCAGAGGGGGGUGGAAUUCCGCGUGUAGCAGUGAAAUGCGUAGAGAUGUGGAGGAACACCGAUGGCGAAGGCAGCCCCCUGGGUCAACACUGACGCUCAGGCACGAAAGCAUGGGGAGCAAACAGGAUUAGAUACCCUGGUAGUCCAUGCCCUAAACGAUGUCAACUAGUUGUCGGGCCUUUACGGGCUUGGUAACGUAGCUAACGCGUGAAGUUGACCGCCUGGAGUACGAUCGCAAGAUUAAAACUCAAAUGAAUUGACGGGGACCCGCACAAGCGGUGGAUUAUGUGGAUUAAUUCGAUGCAACGCGAAAAACCUUACCUACCCUUGACAUGUAUCGAAGCCCGCAGAAAAGCGGGGGUGCCCGAAAGGGAACGAUAACACAGGUGCUGCAUGGCUGUCGUCAGCUCGUGUCGUGAGAUGUUGGGUUAAGUCCCGCAACGAGCGCAACCCUUGUCAUUAAUUGCCAUCAUUUAGUUGGGCACUUUAAUGAGACUGCCGG